GACGAACGCUGGCGGCGUGCUUAACACAUGCAAGUCGAACGGAAAGGCCCUGCUUUUGUGGGGUGCUCGGGUGGCGAACGGGUGAGUAACACGUGAGUAACCUGCUCUUGACUUUGGGAUAACUUCAGGUAACUAGGGCUAAUAACGGAUAGGAGCUCCUGCUGAAUGGUGGGGGUUGGAUAGUUUCGGCGGUUGGGGAUGGACGCGCGGGUUAUCAGCUUGUGGGUGGGGUAGUGGCUUACCAAGGCUUUGACGGGUAGCCGGCCUGAGAGGGUGACCGGCCACAUUGGGACUAAGAUAGGGCCCAGACUGCUACGGUGGGCAGUAGUGGGGAGUAUGACGCAGUGGUGGGAAGCGUAUUGCAACAGCGCCGGGUGCGGGAAGUCGGUCUUCGGGUUGUAAACCGCUUUCGCCUAUGACGAAGCGUGAGUGACGGUAAUGGGUAAAGAAGCACCGGCUAACUACGUG
rnacentral:rRNA from 1 species